GCAGUUCAUGAAACAUGUUAUCUGAAAAAUCUGUGUUUCUAAUGGAAUUUGAAAGGAAAACAGCCAAUCAGAGACGAAGAGUCAGCUGUCAAUAGAGUGCUGCAGGGAUGAUGAAUUUUUGUAGGCCAACCAGGAAGUUAGCAUCGCCCUGGUUCCCUCAACAAAAAGACAAUGGGAUU